GACGAACGCUGGCGGCGUGCUUAACACAUGCAAGUCGAACGGAAAGGCCCUGCUUUUGUGGGGUGCUCGAGUGGCGAACGGGUGAGUAACACGUGAGUAACCUGCCCUUGACUUUGGGAUAACUUCAGGAAACUGGGGCUAAUACCGGAUAGGAGCUCCUGCUGCAUGGUGGGGGUUGGAAAGUUUCGGCGGUUGGGGAUGGACUCGCGGCUUAUCAGCUUGUUGGUGGGGUAGUGGCUUACCAAGGCUUUGACGGAUAGCCGGCCUUGGAGGGUGAACGGCCACCUUGGGACUGAGGUACGGCCCAGACUCCUACGGUGGGCAGCAGUGGGGAAUAUUGCACAAUGGGCGGAAGCCGGAUGCAGCAACGCCGCGUGCGGGAUGACGGCCUUCUGGUUGUAAAACGCUUUCGCCUGUGACGAAGCGUGAGUGACGGUAAUGGGUAAAGAAGCACCGGCUAACUACGUG
rnacentral:rRNA from 1 species